rnacentral:rRNA from 1 species
CCUACGGGUGGCUGCAGUGAGGAAUAUUGGUCAAUGGGCGAGAGCCUGAACCAGCCAAGUCGCGUGAAGGAUGAAGGACCUAUGGUUUGUAAACUUCUUUUAUAUGGGAAUAAAGUGAGGAACGUGAUCCUUUUUGUAUGUACCAUAUGAAUAAGCAUCGGCUAACUCCGUGCCAGCAGCCGCGGUAAUACGGAGGAUGCGAGCGUUACCCGGAUUUAUUGGGGUUAACGGGUGCGUAGGGGGUUAAUUAAGUCAGGGGUGAAAGUUUGGGGCUCAACCAUAAAAUUGCCGUUGAAACUGGUAGACUUGAGUAUAUUUGAGGUAGGCGGAAUGCGUGGUGUAGCGGUGAAAUGCAGAGAUAUCACGCAGAACUUCGAUUGCGAAGGCAGCUUACUAAACUAUAACUGACACUGAAGCACGAAAGCGUGGGGAUCAAACAGGAUUAGAUACCCGAGUAGUC